CGUUUCUUCUCUCUGAAAUUGAGGUAAGGUUGCUUUUGGAUUCACUCAUGGAGAGAUUUUAAGAUUAAUGUUAAUCGAGUUUAAGAUUUCGAUCUGUUGAAGAACAUCAUCGGAAAAAAAAAGAUUCAUCAACCAAUUCCAACAAUUAGGAUAUGGAUAAAGCUGAGGGUUCUAAAAGGAGAGGGGGUGCACAUA